AGCAGCCGCGGUAAUUCCAGCUCCAAUAGCGUAUAUUAAAGUUGUUGCAGUUAAAAAGCUCGUAGUUGAAUUUCGGGGUUCUACCGUUGGUCGGGCUUUGUCUGUACUGGCGUGUAGAAUUUCUACCUUCUGGGGAACCAUCAUGUUAUUAAUUUAACGUGGUAGGAAACCAGGACCUUUACCUUGAAAAAAUUAGAGUGUUCAAAGCAGGCUUAUGUCUGAAUACAUUAGCAUGGAAUAAUAAAAUAGGACGGUGGUCCUGUUUUGUUGGUUUCUGAAUCACCGUAAUGAUUAAUAGGGAUAGUUGGGGGCAUUAGUAUUCAAUUGUCAGAGGUGAAAUUCUUGGAUUUAU
rnacentral:rRNA from 1 species